GAGAAGAGUGAAAAUGAUUCCGGUAUCAACGAGGAGCCUCUGCUCACAGCAGAUCAGGUAAUUGAGGAGAUUGAGGAAAUGAUGCAGAACUCCCCAGACCCUGAGGAAGAAGAGGAGGUUCUGGAAGAAGAGGAUGGAGGAGAAACUUCCUCCCAGGCAGACUCGGUCCUCCUGCAGGAGAUGCAGGCGUUGACACAGACCUUCAACAACAACUGGUCCUACGAAGGUGAGGGCCCUGGGCGCUGGGCUGGCCGAGGAGGAAGCACCUGCUCGGGGCCAGGCUCUGGGCUGUGUGCUUUGUACAUGGCUAAUAGAACCCUGACUGCCUCAGAGCAGAGCCUUGCAGAUCUAGGUGGUCAGCAAUACCUUUCUUACUCGGCAUCAGGAGAGAAGUUUGCAUUUUUGAGAAAAGAAUAAGGUAGUCGAGCAAAAUUUAAACGUUAAAACUAACCAAAGAACAAGACUAAGGCAGAAUAAGCAGAA
rnacentral:sRNA from 1 species